rnacentral:rRNA from 1 species
UACGGAAGGCAGUAGUGGGGAAUAUUGCACAAUGGGCGAAAGCCUGAUGCAGCUAUGCCGCGUGUAUGAAGAAGGCCUUAGGGUUGUAAAGUACUUUCAUCGGGGAGGAAAAAACAAAACUAAUAAUUUUAUUUCUUGACGUUACCCGAAAAAGAAGCACCGGCUAACUCCGUGCCAGCAGCCGCGGUAAUACGGAGGGUGCUAGCGUUAAUCAGAAUUACUGGGCGUAAAGAGCACGUAGGUGGUUUUUUUAAAGUCAGAUGUGAAAUCCCUGGGCUUAACCUAGGAACUGCAUUUUGAAACUGAAAUACUAGAGUAUCGUAGAGGGAGGUAGAAUUCUAGGUGUAGCGGUGAAAUGCGUAGAUAUCUGGAGGAAUACCUGUGGCGAAAGCGGCCUCCUAAACGAAUACUGACACUGAGGUGCGAAAGCGUGGGGAGCAAACAGGGAUUUAGAUACC